rnacentral:lncRNA from 1 species
UGCCUCUCGUGCUCAAAUCCUGAUGGAGAUCAAAAGCCAAUCUACAUACAUUGGCCAAAAAAAUGAGGACGAAAUCGAGCCAAAGGGAUUAGAAGAAGUUCUAUCACUUCCAUCGAAACCAUGACCAUGAUAUCGAGGAGUAUCGCCAACUGAAGGAUGAGAUCAAGGAUCUGAUCCACCAAGGAUACCUUGAGGAGAAUGACCGAAAUAAAGGAAAAGACCCAGUGGAGGGAUCACAUCGGCCCAACACCGAUGUGAAUGAC